UACGGGGGGGGCAAGCGUUGUUCGGAAUUACUGGGCGUAAAGGGCUCGUAGGCGGCCAACUAAGUCGGAUGUGAAAUCCCCAGGCUUAACCUGGGAACUGCAUCCGAUACUGGAUGGCUUGAAUCCGGGAGAGGGAUGCGGAAUUCCAGGUGUAGCGGUGAAAUGCGUAGAAUAUCUGGAGGAACACCGGUGGCGAAGGCGGCGAUCCUGGACCGGUAUUGACGCUGAGGCGCGAAGCCAGGGGAGCAAACGGGG
rnacentral:rRNA from 1 species